GUCAUGGAGCUACCAGCGGGCUGGACAACCGGCAGCAGUUCAUCAGAUGAUCACACCUUUGGAUGUUUGCUCCAGUCCGAAGCUCUGUGGACGUGCAUUAAGGGUAGUGGAAACACGAAUGUGUGUACGUCGCGACAACACUGAUGAACACCCGCGAGGAGCAUUUUAC
rfam:Kouleothrix aurantiaca strain COM-B contig_247, whole genome shotgun sequence.